rnacentral:rRNA from 1 species
UACAGGGGGUGCAAACGUUGCUCGGAAUCAUUGGGCGUAAAGCGCACGUAGGCGGUCUGUUAUGUCGGAUGUGAAAGCCCUUGGCUCAACUGAGGAAGUGCAUCCGAAACUGGCAGGCUAGAGUACUAAAGAGGGUCGCGGAAUUCCCGGUGUAGAGGUGAAAUUCGUAGAUAUCGGGAGGAACACCGGUGGCGAAGGCGGCGACCUGGGUAGAUACUGACGCUGAGGUGCGAAAGCGUGGGGUGCAAACAGG